rnacentral:rRNA from 1 species
AUUGAACGCUGGCGGCAGGCCUAACACAUGCAAGUCGAGCGGAUGAAGGGAGCUUGCUCCUGGAUUCAGCGGCGGACGGGUGAGUAAUGCCUAGGAAUCUGCCUGGUAGUGGGGGAUAACGUCCGGAAACGGGCGCUAAUACCGCAUACGUCCUGAGGGAGAAAGUGGGGGAUCUUCGGACCUCACGCUAUCAGAUGAGCCUAGGUCGGAUUAACUAGUUGGUGGGGUAAAGGCCUACCAAGGCGACGAUCCGUAACUGGUCUGAGAGGAUGAUCAGUCACACUGGAACUGAGACACGGUCCAGACUCCUAAGGGAGGCAGCAGUGGGGAAUAUUGGACAAUGGGCGAAAGCAUGAUCCAGCCAUGCCGCGUGUGUGAAGAAGGUCUUCGGAGUGUAAAGCACUUUAAGUUGGGAGGAAGGGCAGUAAGUUAAUACCUUGCUGUUUUGACGUUACCAACAGAAUAAGCACCGGCUAACUUCGUG